rnacentral:rRNA from 1 species
GAUGAACGCUAGCGGCAGGCUUAAUACAUGCAAGUCGAGGGGUAGCAAGAUUGUAGCAAUACAAUUGUUGACGACCGGCAAACGGGUGCGGAACACGUACACAACCUUCCUACAAGUGGGGAAUAGCCCAGAGAAAUUUGGAUUAAUACCCCGUAACAUAGCGAUGUGGCAUCACAUUGCUAUUAUAGCUUCGGCGCUUGUUGAUGGGUGUGCGGUUGAUUAGAUAGUUGGCGGGGUAACGGCCAACCAAGUCUACGAUCAGUAGCUGAUGUGAGAGCAUGAUCAGCCACACGGGCACUGAGACACGGGCCCGACUCCUACGGGAGGCAGCAGUAAGGAAUAUUGGACAAUGGACGCAAGUCUGAUCCAGCCAUGCCGCGUGAAGGAUUAAGGUCCUCUGGAUUGUAAACUUCUUUUAUAAGGGACGAAAAAAGGUCUUUCUAGAUCGUCUGACGGUACCUUAUGAAUAAGCACCGGCUAACUCCGUGCCAGCCGCCGCUGUAACAC